AAAGCAUGAUGAGGGCAUUUCCUAAGCAUUUCUUUAAAUCUCUCUUGACUCACAUAAAUUGAUUCUUCUUCAAACUGAGUAAAAGAAGUGAUAUUAUUUUUAAGUUU